UAUAUAUAUAUAUAUAUAUAUAUAUAUAUAUAUAUAUAUAUAUAUAUAUAUAUAUAUAUAUAUAUAUAUAUAUAUAUCAACUCCAGGGUCGCACAACUUUGGGGAGGGGGCAAAUCCCUGUUAAGUGCCUUGCAUACUGGUUGUCAACCAAAUGAGCCGUCGACCAAAUGAGUUUCGACCAUAUGAACUGUCGACCAUAUCAAGUAGACCCAUAUAU